UAAUACGUAGGGUGCAAGCGUUGUCCGGAAUUAUUGGGCGUAAAGAGCUCGUAGGCGGUCUGUCGCGUCGGACGUGAAAAUCCAGGGCUCAACCCUGGACCUGCGUUCGAUACGGGCAGACUAGAGUUCGGUAGGGGAGACUGGAAUUCCUGGUGUAGCGGUGAAAUGCGCAGAUAUCAGGAGGAACACCGGUGGCGAAGGCGGGUCUCUGGGCCGAAACUGACGCUGAGGAGCGAAAGCGUGGGGAGCGAACAGGA
rnacentral:rRNA from 1 species